UGUAACGCCACUGGGGUAGGAAGCCCGGAAACCUCUCCGUGCUGGGAUCCAAAUCGAGGAGCCUGGGCAUUCCAGAUAAAUACACUUACCACUGAGACACAUCCUUAGAAAAUGAGUAUCUAGCAUGCCUAACUCUUCAUACAUUUUCCUAAAAACUCAACAAAUCAAUUUAUGAAUUUUUAAAUAACACAUUUCAACUUAAAUUUC